rnacentral:tRNA from 1 species
GAGACCCUAGUAAAAUAAUUAUAUAGCCCUGUCAGAGCUAAGUAACAGAAUAAAAUCUGUGAGUCCCA